CAACUUUUAACAAUGGAUCUCUUGGUUCUCGCAUCGAUGAAGAACGUAGCAAAGUGCGAUAACUAGUGUGAAUUGCAUAUUCAGUGAAUCAUCGAGUCUUUGAACGCAACUUGCACUCAUUGGUAUUCCAAUGAGUACGCCUGUUUCAGUAUCAAAAA
rnacentral:rRNA from 2 species